CAUAAAUCCAAAAACAGGCUCUACAUAAAUUUUUCUAUGACUAUAGAUUUUUUUCGUUUCUGGUUCAGAAAGCUUUUGAUUAAUUUGGGCUUUAAUGUAUUUCAAAGUAAAAUUACAUGUUAAUACGUAGUAUUAAUGGCGAGACUCCUGAAGGAGCAGUGCCAGUCGAAGACCGAGGCUGAGACGGCACCCUAGGAAGUGACCCAUCAUCAAAAAUUCUAUUUAUAGAAUUUUACAG
rnacentral:ncRNA from 1 species